CUGGAUCUGGUUUGUUUAGAAAUAGCUUGACAGAACAGUUUUCUGCAAGUUAGCAGAAUGAUUACAUUGACAAUUUUUCUCAGUUUGUUACUGACGUUUUUAUCCUGUGUCCAGUCGGAGAUUACUUUGAAUCAACCAGAGGCAGAGACCGACCGCCCAGGAGCCACCCUGAGACUGACCUGUAAAACCAGCGGGUUCAAUCUUGGCAACGACUGGAUGUGGUGGGUCCGACAGGUUCCCGGACAGGGACUGGAAUGGUUGAUUAGCUACUAUAGUUCAUCGAACAAUUACUACGUGUCAGCGAUUAAAGAUCGAUUUACUGCGUCCAAAGACACUUCAAACAACAUCUUCGCAUUGGACAUGAAGAGCCUAAAGAUCGAAGACACUGCCAUCUAUUACUGUGCAAGAGACCACAGCGGAGCAGAGAAUGUAAUGCCGUGUCUUGCUUACUGGGGGCAAGGGACGAUGGUGACGGUGAUUGCAGCGACACCAUCUUUCCCCACACUUUAUGGCUUAGUGUCAUCCUGUCAACCACACAGCACUGAUGGUUCUGUGAUCUUUGGUUGUUUGGCAAUGGACUAUUCCCCUGACGUCACCAAGGUGACGUGGAAGAAAGAAGGGAAGCAAAUCACGACUGGAUUGAAUACUUACCCAUCAGUGAGAAACAAGAAGGGAACUUACACCCUGAGCAGCCAGUUAACCGUGACUGAGUCAGAAGUGGAAUGCAGCAAAAUCUACUGUGAAGUUCAACACCAAGGGUCAGAGAAGAGCGUUGAAAUGCCAUGUUUAGAAAUUGUCCAUCCAACUCUUCUCCUAACUGUGAGUUCCAGCGAAGAAAUCGAGAGCAGCAAAGUUGCAACCGUCGUCUGUUCAAUCAUGGAUUUCCAUCCUAAGCAAAUUUCCGUGACUUGGUUGAAGAAUGGACGACCCGUAGGUUCUGGUUUCUUCACCUCUCCCGUGUGUGAAGCGAGCGGGAACUUCUCGUCGACUAGUCAGCUGAGAGUCCCUUAUAGUGAAUGGUUCAACAGCGCAGUCUAUACGUGCCAAGUCACUCAUGAAGAGGCCAUUCAAAGUCGAAACAUCACCGGACCGCAGGUUGCGGAGUGCCGUGAUCACACAAUUAAAAUACUACCACCGCCAUUAGAACAGGUCUUACUGGAAGCGACAGUGACGUUAACCUGCGUUGUGUCCAAUCUUCCUUUUGGAGUCAACGUCACCUGGACACAAGGAAAGAAACCUUUGAAAUCAGAGAUUGCUGACCAAGCAGGAGACGAUCCCGACAGCGUGAUCAGCAAAUUAUACAUUUCUACUGAAGCCUGGCUGAGUGGGGAUAAUUUCUACUGCGUGGUGAACCAUCAGUAUCUACCAACUCCUUUGAGAGGUUCCAUCCACAAGGAGAAAGUGAUAAAUCCACUGGAGCCGUCAGUGUCUGUCCUCCUGCCACCGACAGAAGAAAUCUCCGCUCAGAGGUUUGUCUCCCUCACCUGUUUAGUCAGAGGAUUCUCCCCCAGAGAGAUCUUCGUCAAAUGGACAACCAAUGACAAGCUGGUGAAUCCCAUUAACUACAAGAACACCGAAGUGAUGGCAGAGUAUGACAACGCCUCCUUCUUCAUGUACAGCCUGUUAUCCAUUGCUGCGGAGGAGUGGGCCAGCGGUGCUUCUUACUCCUGUGUGGUGGGACAUGAAGCGGUUCCAUUGAAGAUCAUCAAUAGAACAGUUGAUAAAUCGAGCGGUAAACCGAGUUUUGUGAAUAUUUCACUUGCACUGAUGGACACCAUUAACUCAUGCCAAUGAAAAUCUCAAGGCUCCCUUUAAGAAUUCAAUAAAAGUAAUAAAGUGUUUCUUUCCUCAAA